UAUUCGAAUUAUUAUUUAGAAACAUGAAAAAAGCAAAUAAGAUAAUAAUAAUAAUAAUAAAUAUACAAAGAACAGCUGAAGAAAGCGAGCGUGCAGUGAACUUGUACAAAAGUGCAAAUUGAAAAGGAACGAAGGGACAAGAGGAGGACGUCGUAAGUCAGUGUCAGGCAACAGAGUUUAAUCUCUUAAUUACUAAAGAGUAAGUUUGCAUGCAGGCAUGCAGCAUGUUAAAGUCGUUGCAAAGAUUAGUGGUAACACUACUCUGAUAAGUCUUCCAUCCGGCUUGUUUGUUAAAUAAUAUCAUCGCUACUCGGAUACAAGAUUGCGAAAGUAUCUCUUAUUUCAUCUGCGUGCAUGCGAUUCUGCUUAAAUACCGGUUCAUCUACGACACGGAUACAACAGCAGAUGCAACAGGAAAGAUCUUGAAAAUUUCGUAAAAUUUAAUAUCCGAUAGUGACGUUCCCUGUCGAUUUAAAACGGAUUUAUCAAACUACAGACGCCACGAAAAAUAUAAAUGUAGAUCUUUUUCACUGGUGAACUUAUUGAAAUUAUUUAUAAGAAUGAUAAGAAUUUUUUAUUAUUGUACCGUAAUUGCGUAUUAUACUAUUAGAGGAACGCAAUGAGAUAGAUUGUUAAUCAUUUUAUAUUCGUUCAGGUCAACAAGUAUCUUUUUUAAUUUCUCCUAAUAUUACCCUUUAUUA
rnacentral:misc_RNA from 1 species